rnacentral:misc_RNA from 1 species
GUGAAUCAUCAAAUCUUUGAACGCAAAUUGCACUCUCUUCUGAUAGGAUGCCUGUUUGAGGGUCAGUAUUAGUAAAAAUCGGUGUGUUGCUUCUUUGUGACGCUCCGGAGUUUGUGUCAUCUUAAAAUCCUUUAGGUUUUAAGAGGAUUAAAAUUGACUUUUUUUGCGCAUUUUAGAGGGACAUAAAUUCUUUGUUUUAUUCGUCUGUCUUAAUGCUCAUAAUCCUAUUAGAGGCGACCAUAGCGUGGGGUUUCGUGUCUAUAAAUUGUUUAGGAUUUG